CUCCCUCCUCUCUCCCUCCCCGAGCUACUCUGUGACUCGGGGUGUUCAGCUGCGAGCAUGUGAGGGUGGGUGAAAAAUGCGGCGGAUCCGGCGUUCACUGACAUGGCAGCCGUUCGCGCUCUCCUUCGUGUCAGCUGCUGCGCCAGAAGCAGACACCCAUCCACUUGCUCACCUGCGAGCAAACAACGCAACGAGCAGGUCUUUCAACGACCUGUGGAGAAGGGAGUGGUUGUCCUAGGUACACUAUGUGUGUGCGCGCGGAGCGGGCGCGGUUGCAGAAAGGGUGCGCUCUGGUCUGCUCUGCGUGCGAGAGAGGAGUGGUUUCUUGGCUCCCCAAGGAAUGCAGAAGAGGCCUGGAAGGCGGCAUUGAAGCGGACUAGAGGAUUGAGGGUGAAGAGGCCUGGAAGGCGGCAUUGAAGCGGACUAGAGGAUUGAGGGUGAAGAGGCCUGGAAGGCGGCAUUGAAGCGGACUAGAGGAUUGAGGGUGAAGAGGCCUGGAAGGCGGCAUUGAAGCGGACUAGAGGAUUGAGGGUGAAGAGGCCUGGAAGGCGGCAUUGAAGCGGACUAGAGGGUUGAGGGUGAAGAGGCCUGGAAGGCGGCAUUGAAGCGGACUAGAGGGUUGAGGGUGAAGGCCCACACAAACAAAGCUUUCACAUAGUGGGCCUCUUCACAUGCUCAUUCCAACAGCCUGAAAACAAGUAAACAACCUAUAUUAAACUCAUACGAAUAACCUUUUAAAUAUUGAGUAAAGUUCCUAAGACAAAAGGUAGCAUAUUUUAACUAAUUAUUACAAUUACAGUUCUAACUUACGAGUUUUAGGCCUACACAGGUUCUUUGGCAAAAUAAUCUAAAUUAUAAUAUCAUAAAAUAUGUGCAGUAGAUUUAUCAUUUCUGAAACAAAAAAAAACAAGCCAUCUUCUGAAAAUAUAUAAUUUGCAAAAAGAAAAAAGUUUUGGCUCUGUGCUGAGUGGGUGACAGUUGUCGAGAGUCAUGACAAUAAUGAAUCUUCCUUUCUGACAGGCUAGCAGAUCCAGUUUGGCAACUAACAGAUGAUCAGAUCCACUUGUGCGAGUGUAUUGAAGUGUUUGCCCAUGGGAAUAUUGACUAUUGUAACUCAACUAAUUAGAUGGGAUAAACAAUUAAAGACCAUUAUUCUAAUUCUCGAAUAGAUAUUUUAAAACCAUAACGAAAUAGGAUAGGUAAAGACUACAAAUAUUGAAAUAUGCCUAGUGCAAUUGACAAAGCAGUAAAAAGGAAAUGUUAAAGGAUUUAAUAAUUGAUCUUAGCUUUCAGAAUAUCAGCCACAACGUAUUAUUGUGUUGUUGUAAUUAGGCCUAAGGUAGCCUAUACCGAUACCAUUUAAUUGUAUUAAACAAUUGGUUUUGAUGAUUAGGACAUUGAUUCUUCAUCUUCAAUAGCCUUCCACUGUUUGACUUCGAGAAAGUGAGUGCCUGGUUAUCAUUACAGAUAACCAUGCACUCGUUAUCAUUACUGAUAUCAAAUCUUCCAUUCAGAUGAUACUUUAGAUAGAGGCCUUUUAAAGCAGGAUACAAACUUUCAAGCAAGUGUUGAAGUAGACCAAGGUUUACGAGGGUGAUCUCUUCAAGCUUACAAUACUGAAUAGACCAAAUAAUCUAAUGAAAAAUGUUCAAUUUAGUAGAGCUGACGGGCAUAAUGGAAAAACAAGUACACGCAUCAACCUUUUCAUUUAAAAGCUUUUAAACAAUUACCCAAACAGGAAUUACGUGUAGUCUAGGCGCAUGUAACGCUACAUGUCCCUCGAGUCAUUUACAAGAACAUGUGGAAGAAUGGAAGAGAACAUAGCCUACCUGUAGGUGUUGGCUCCAUUCAUAUACGUCUGUGCUGCAGUCAUGGCCUGGGGAUACUGGAGCGCGGACAGGUCAUAGCGGUGCAGCUGCUGAGUGUAGCCGAGGGCCUCGUUCUGCAUCCCAGCGUAACCUCCCGCCGGGCCCCACCCGUAGCUCUCCAUUCUGGCGCUCCCACCUUGGCCCUGCGCGGCCGCUGCGGCCAGCAGGUUCCCGGCGGAGAGAGGGUACUUCGCCAUCUGGUUGUCCUUCUUGAGCAGGGGCUUGGUCUUGCGCCGUGGCUUGUACUUGUAGUCGGGAUAAUCCUUCAUGUGCACUGCCCUGAGGCGCUUGGCUUCGUCGAUGAACGGCCGCUUCUCGGCGUCGGUCAGCAGCUUCCACUCCGCGCCAAGCCGCUUGCUGAUCUCAGAGUUGUGCAUCUUGGGGUUCUCCUGGGCCAUCUUGCGGCGCUGGCCCCUGGACCACACCAUGAAGGCAUUCAUGGGCCUUUUGACCUUGUCCAUUGGGUCCCCGCCCGGAGGGCACACGGAUUUGGACCCCAGGUGAGAGUUGCCAAUGUUUCCAGUAACCGGGGACAUGCCCUGGGCCGUUUGGUGGUGGUGGUGCUGCUGCUGCUGCUGUUGCCCAGAAGGCUUCAGCUCGUGUUCCAUCAUGCUAUACAUUGUUUGGAACUUUGAAAGUGUCGCAGUUAAAAAAAAAAAAUCAAAUGUAAAAAUGGAUAACUAAACUAAACAGUCACAGCCUCUGUCGCCUGUUAAA